UACGAAGGUUGCAAGCGUUACUCGGAAUUACUAGGCGUAAAGGGCAGGUAGGUGGUUCGAUAAGUCUGUUGUGAAAGCUCCCGGCUCAACUGGGAGAGGCCAACAGAAACUAUCGGACUUGAGUAUGGGAGAGGGUACUGGAAUUCCCGGUGUAGCGGUGAAAUGCGCAGAGAUCGGGAGGAACACCAAUGGCGAAAGCAGGUACCUGGACCAUUACUGACACUCAACUGCGAAAGCUAGGGGAGCAAACAGG
rnacentral:rRNA from 1 species